AACAGAAGAAUGUAGCCUUGUAUCAGUUCCAUAAUGGAAUCCCGUUGACCGGUGCCGCUGCUGCCAAUUUUACUCGUAGAUAGCUUGCCACUGCUUUGCGCAAGGAUUUACUGUGGCUGAGGGAGCUUCUGGUUCCUCUUCUCCUUCUGGUGGUGAUGCAGGCGUCAAGUCCAGUGGAGUAUCAGAUUGUGUUGCUGGACCUUCUGCUAAAGCUUUGGAAGCUGUUCAGAAAAAUAAAUUUUUUUAAAGAAAAAAGAUUACCUCUUGGACUUAAAGGAGACGCCGCCAUUGGUGGAACGGUUGGCGGAAGUAGAAAGGGAACAGGGCCUGCCAAAAAAGUUUAUUAACAUUUUUCUUUGGAUUAGUUAAUGUUAAUGCACAUUGUUUGUUCACCGAAGAAUGUAUGGUUGAUUAAUGAUUAGUAUGAGAAAGCAUCCCUAGUUAUACACUUUCCACAAUACUUUUAAAACUUAAGUGACGUUUUCUCAAAGUUGUCAGGAGAGAUGCUAUUUCUGCGCCCCUUUUAUUUUGGAGCACUUCCCCAUUUCAUGUGGGAUCCAAAGUUCCGAACUAAUGUAUAUAGGAAUUGCUCUGAAUCAAAACACAGCACAUGCAGAUAGCAGCUGUUAGAUCCUAGUUUCCCCCCAAGGUUAAAAAACUCAUGAAAAAUGCAGUACUUGUUUCAAUUGCAAACGUUACCUGGAGCUGGUAGAGGAGUGCCAGAAGCUGCAAAACACAUGAAAUGGGCCGUUAAGUUUCUGGAAUCAGGGGAACAGUGAAGGAUUUUAGAUGAGGCAGACUAAUUAAUAAAACCAAGACAAAUUAAG